UGUCCCCAAUGUCCCCCACUGUCCCCAUUGUCCCCAGUGUCCCCAAUGUCCCCAAAGUCCCCAAUGUCCCCAAUGUCCCUGUGUGUCCCCAGUGUGUCCUGUGUGUCCCCACUGUCCCCACUGUCCCCAGUGUCACCACUGUCCCCACUGUCCCCAAUGUCCCCACUGUCCCCAGUGUCCCCACUGUCCCCACUGUCCCCACUGUCCCCAUGUCCCCAGGUCCCGGCUCGUGUCGGACACGCAGAAGCAGCUGCAGGUUCAGGUCAAGCUCGCCGUCCUUCAGGCCAUGAGGGAGCUCAACAAACGCUCCAAGGUGCUCAUGGGGGACGUGCAGGUGAGAGUGCCACCACCCCUGGGGUCCCCAAGUGUCCCCAAGUGUCCCUGAGUGUCACAGUCAGUGUCAGUGCCAUGGGGACACUGCUGGUGUAAAGGAUCAGUGGGAAAUCCAAAUUAAUAAAUGGCAAAAAUUGGAUUUUUGUGACCA
rnacentral:lncRNA from 1 species